CCCGUUCCAACAAUGUUCCG
rnacentral:miRNA from 1 species